rnacentral:rRNA from 1 species
AUGGCCGCGGCGGCCGCCGGCGCCUCUACUUCCGCCGCAGCUGUGUACGCAAUCUCUGCCCACAUAGCCGCUGGAAGACUCUUCGCCGCCCUAGACACUCUCACCCCUUCCUGGUCCUCCUCCCCGAUACCCUCCUCACUCUACGCUUCCCUCCUCCGUCUGGCCACCGACCACGGCUCCCUCUCGGCCGCCCGCCGCAUCGCGACCCACUUCACCUCCGCCACCUUCCAAUUCAACCGCUCAUCAGUCCCCACCUUCCUAUUCAACCGCGCCAUCGAGUCUCUUGCUGCUUGCGGCGGCCUCGCGGACGCGCGGGAGUUGUUUGAGUUAAUGCCGCGCCGUGACGGCGGUUCUUGGAAUGCCAUCAUCUACGCUUCCUCCCGCGCCGGGAAACCCACGGAGGCGCUUUCCCUCUUUGCCGAUAUGUACGCCCGUGGCGUUCGCCCCAACGAUGUCACAAUGGCAUCCGUGCUCGCCUGCUGCUCAGAGUGCCUCAACCCGUGUGGUGCCCAGCAGCUCCACGGCCAUAUCUCCAAGCGGGACUUCCAGUCCAAUGUGAUUCUUGGCACAGCGCUGGUUGAUGUGUAUGGGAAGUGUCACUUACUUGCAGAUGCGAGGCAGGCAUUUGAUGGUAUCUCCGAACCUAAUGCCAUUUCGUGGAAUGUCAUCAUCCGCCGGUAUCUUCUUGCUGGGAUGGGGGAUAUGGCAGCUGAAAUGUUCUUUCGGAUGGUCUGGGCAGGAGUUAGGCCGCUUGUUUAUACCGUCUCACAUGCACUUCUUGCUUGCCGGGAUAACAAUGCGCUUGAAGAAGGACGGUGCAUGCAUACUUUUGUGCUUCGUCAUGGGUACGAGCAACACGUCCAUGUGCGGAGCUCAGUCGUGGAUAUGUAUGCCAAGUGCGGUGCCAUUGAUGCAGCCCAAAGGCUCUUCAACUUGGCACCAGUGAAGGACAUGAUAAUGUCGACCUCAAUUUUGUCAGGGCUGGCUUCUUGUGGGAGGGUUGCUGAUGCAAAGCGAGUGUUCGACAGGAUGGAAGAGCGUAACUUGGUGUCCUGGAAUGCUAUGUUGACUGGUUAUAUCAGGUCCUUGGAUCUGACUGGUGCAUUGCAUUUGUUCCAGCAGAUGAGGAAGGAGACAAAGGAGCUUGAUGAUGUUACACUUGGUUCGGUGCUCAAUGCUUGUACUGGGAUGCUUGAUAUUUGGAAAGGUGAGGAGGUCCAUGCAUUCGCUUUCAAGUGUGGUUUAUUCAGUUACCCUUUCCUAAAGAACGCUCUUGUGAGGAUGUAUUCCAAAUGCGGAUGCAUGAGGAGUGCAGAACUGCUUCUUCAAUUCGAGAUGGGAGAGAGAGACAAAUACUCCUGGAAUUCACUUAUCUCAGGCUAUGAGCGCCACUCCAUGAGUGAAGCAGCUCUGCAUGCACUGAGUGAAAUGCAAUCUGAAGUAACUCCUAACCAGUCCACGUUCAGUUCGGCACUGGCAGCCUGUGCCAACAUUUUUCUGCUUAAGCACGGCAUGGAGAUUCAUGCGUACAUGAUCAGAAAUGGCUAUGAGAUUGACGAUAUACUGCGAAGUGCAUUGAUUGACAUGUACUCCAAGUGUAGGCUAUUUGAUUAUGCCAUCAGGAUAUUUGAGGCACGACCAUCUCGUGAUGUCAUCCUGUGGAAUUCGAUAAUCUUUGGCUGUGCUUACAGUGGCAAAGGUGAGUAUGGGCUUGAAUUGUUUGAUGAAAUGCGGGCGCAAGGGAUUAAGGCCGACUCUGUCACUUUCCUCAGUGCACUAGUUUCAUGUAUCAGCGAGGGGCAUGUUGGGUUGGGAAAGAGUUAUUUCACUUUGAUGACUGAGGAAUCCAUCAUUCCUCGCAUGGAGCACUAUGAGUGCAUGAUUGAGCUGCUGGGCAAACAUGGACACAUGGUUGAGCUCGAGGAUUUUGUGGAUCACAUGCCGUUUGAGCCAACAACCACAAUGUGGUUAAGGAUCUUCGACUGCUGUAGGGAAUAUGGAAAUAGGAAAUUAGGGGAGCGGGCUGCCAAGUGCAUCAAUGAUAGCAAUCCCCAGACACCGGUUCGAUACGAGGCUACUGCGGACUACAUGUGCAGUGAUGGUGGCAGUGCAGAGCCCAUGUUAUUUGGUAACCCGGACGAAGAAUUGAUGUCGCCGCUGUGA